rnacentral:rRNA from 1 species
GUGGAUUAGAUACCCUGGUAGUCCACGCCCUAAACGAUGUCUACUAGUUGUCGGGUCUUAAUUGACUUGGUAACGCAGCUAACGCGUGAAGUAGACCGCCUGGGGAGUACGGUCGCAAGAUUAAAACUCAAAGGAAUUGACGGGGACCCGCACAAGCGGUGGAUGAUGUGGAUUAAUUCGAUGCAACGCGAAAAACCUUACCUACCCUUGACAUGGCAGGAAUCCCUGAGAGAUCGGGGAGUGCUCGAAAGAGAACCUGCACACAGGUGCUGCAUGGUUGUCGACAGCU